rnacentral:rRNA from 1 species
AUACGGAGGAUCCGAGCGUUAUCCGGAUUUAUUGGGUUUAAAGGGAGCGUAGGUGGACAGUUAAGUCAGUUGUGAAAGUUUGCGGCUCAACCGUAAAAUUGCAGUUGAUACUGGCUAUCUUGAGUACAGUAGAGGUGGGCGGAAUUCGUGGUGUAGCGGUGAAAUGCUUAGAUAUCACGAAGAACUCCGAUUGCGAAGGCAGCUCACUGGACUGCAACUGACACUGAUGCUCGAAAGUGUGGGUAUCAAACAGGAUUAGAUACCCUGGUAGUCCACACAGUAAACGAUGAAUACUCGCUGUUUGCGAUAUACAGUAAGCGGCCAAGCGAAAGCAUUAAGUAUUCCACCUGGGGAGUACGCCGGCAACGGUGAAACUCAAAUGAAUUGACGGGG